AGAGUUUGAUCAUGGCUCAGAGUGAACGCUGGCGGCAGGCCUAAUACAUGCAAGUCGAACGGCAGCACAGCAGAGCUUGCUCUGUGGGUGGCGAGUGGCGGACGGGUGAGGAAUACGUGGGAAUCUGCCCAGUCGUGGGGGAUAACGUAGGGAAACUUACGCUAAUACCGCAUGCGCCCUUCGGGGGAAAGCCGGGGACCUUCGGGCCUGGCGCGAUUGGAUGAGCCCACGUCGGAUUAGCUAGUUGGCGGGGUAAAGGCCCACCAAGGCGACGAUCCGUAGUUGGUCUGAGAGGAUGAUCAGCCACACUGGAACUGAGACACGGUCCAGACUCCUACGGGAGGCAGCAGUAGGGAAUAUUGGACAAUGGGCGCAAGCCUGAUCCAGCCAUGCCGCGUGAGUGAAGAAGGCCCUCGGGUUGUAAAGCUCUUUUGUCCGGAAAGAAAAGCGCCGGGUUAAUACCCUGGUGUCCUGACGGUACCGGAAGAAUAAGCACCGGCUAACUUCGUG
rnacentral:rRNA from 1 species